UGGCAGGACAGCAUCCUCUUUUGCGAUCUGUAAUGAAUGCAGGAGAGACUCUCAGGUUGACACCACCCCUCACAUCUACCCAGGUAUGUCUAGGCCCCUCACUGCAGGGCUACAUGCUUGCUAGGAUUGGGGGUGGUAUUGGGUAAGACAUGCUGCUGUGGAUGGGACUCGCUGCUGGGUGAUGCCUUGACCCUGCAAUAAUACCUACUCGUGCACAGAGUACCUUGCCCCUCCUGUCUGAAAUUCCACCAUCACUGUUGCGUGUUUAAGAGCUAAGAGUUUUUCCUCUUUUUUCCAUGCUGGAUAUGUAGCCUACAUCAAAUAUUAGGGAAGCUGGUGGCAAAAUAAUAAGAACAAACACAUUUUUUGUAAGAACAAACUCUUUAUCUCAUAAAGAUCCUGGAAGGUUGGCAGGGCAUUGACUUUAACUUCAGGAUACAAUUUGACACUUCAUCUUCCUCAACACAAACCUCUACACACUUCUGAUGGCUCUUUCACUGAGGCCAGUCCUGGGCACUUAUCUGGGGAUGGAUGGGGGAAAGGAGGACCCACACAUGUAAGGGAUAAGUAGAGCCAGUGUUAAGAGAGACCUCAUGGCUGUCUGGGACAUAGAGAAUGCCCUGUGAAGCCAGCCUGCAAGUGGUGGCUUAUUGGCCAAGCCAGCCUCUGAAGGGCAAAAAAUAUACAAGCUUUGUUGAGCAGACUGCCUGGAAAAGCUGGACAAUCUUGGCGAGAGUAUCUAUUAGCAAUGGAAAAGUAUCAGGGACAUCAGGAUCGAAGGGGUCAGGAGUCGGGCAGUGGCCAAUCAGACCCCUGGACACACUGAAAGGUACUGGGUCAGAUGUAGGACCCAAUGAAGGUACUGAAGUCCAAGGGCUGGAAGAGGCAGGGCACUUCAGUUUAGCUUCCUCCGCAGCCUUACUGGAUAGCACUAGAUUUCCACUGAGCAACUAACUUCUUUCAUUUUUAUUCAUUCAACCAACAAAUAUUUACUGAAUACCUACCAUGUGCCAAGCACUUUGUUAGGAAUGAGCAAAACAGACACAAUUUCUGCCCUCAGAGAGCACUGUCUAGUGGGAAACAAGCAUUGGAGAAACAGUAACACAGGAGAAUAGAUUUACAAUGUGAUAAGUGUCACAAGAGAGGUGCAUGAAGUACCAGGGUCAUCGGACAUAGUCAGAGAGGUAAGAGGUGUCUCUGAGGUCUGAAGGAGGGGGAGGAGGUAAUUAGUGAAUGCAGUGAGACAUGGAGUGUGUGGUACAGAAACCUCUGUAUUAACCAAAACCAUUUCUCUACCUCUAGCACAUGGAUUUUAUCUCCUAGCCUCCCAAGCAGCUACAUGUGGUCACAUGACCCAGUUCUAGCCAAUGCAACUUGGGCGAAAGUGGUAAGUGCUACUUCUGUGCACAGUCUAUACCCUCCUGUACCUCCUCUACUUUCCUCCCUUUACCACAGUCCCCCUGCUUGACCAUCUAACAGGAUACAUAGGAUCCAGUUGAGUAGUGUUAAGACCCUAUAAGAUGACAGAACAUAGCCAGAGGGGAUCUGGGUCUCUGAAUGAUCAUGUGGAAGGCCACCUGCCAACCAGGAAUAUCCAAGAUGGACUUUGUAAAAGCAAGAAAUACACUUUUAUUGUGUUAAGUGAUUAAGAUGUUUAAGUUUGUUGCAGUAGCUAGUCUUACUUUAAUGCAGAGAGGAAGUGUCCUAUACAAAGAGAAAAAUGUGUGAAAGGCCUUAUAGCCUGCUGGAAGUUUAAAGAAGGCUAGUGUGACUAAAAGAGAGAAAGAGGGCACCUGGUGCAAAAUGGGGCUGGAAAUGCAAGUAGAGGCCAAACAAAAGGUAGUUUAAGAUUUGGGUCCUUGGGGAACUCAUUAGAUGGAUUUUAGAAAUAUGAGGACCUAAAUUUGACAAAACUUGGUAAUGAUGUAGAUACUUGGGGGGGGGGGUGGAGGAUGGGGAGGUGCAAAAGAGAGAAGUAUCAAAGGUGACAACUGGUUUUUGCCUUGAGUAACUGGAUGGAAGAUGAAGCUAUUCACUAAGGGAACAAUGAAAGAACAUACAAUUUGAAGAAAAAAUUAAUCAAUUUGCUUUGGGUAUGUGUAUGUUGGUGGUACCUUUGAGGCCUCCAGGUAGAAAUGUCAAUUAGGCAGUUGGAUACACUGGUCUGGAAUACAGAGGAGAGGUCUGCAUUAGAGUUAGAAAUUUGUGAGUCACUGUUCACAGGCCAAUGGGUAUCUGAAGUCAUCCCUAGGGAGACAGUAGGGAGUGAGAGGAAAGAAACUAGGAGUAGGCCUUGAGGGACUUUAACAUUUGAUCUUCUAGACCAGGGAUCAGCAAACCUUUUCUGUCAAAGGCCAUAUAAUAAGUGUUUUAGGCUUUGCAGACCAUAUGGUUUCUGUUGCAGCUAUUCAGUUUUACUAUUGUUGUACAAAAUCAGCCAUAGACAAUUCAUAAAUAGGUAUGGUGGCUUUUUUCCAAUACAAUUUUAUUUAUGGACCCCGAAAUCUGAAUUUCAUAUAAUUUUAACGUGUCAUGAAACUUUAUCCUUGUUUUGAUUUUUUUCAAUCAUUAAAAAAUGUGAACACCACUCUUAGCAAACAGGCUGUACCAAAACCAGGAUUGGGCCCAUGGCCCAAAUCUGGCCCAUGAUCCAUUUACUAAAGUUUCAUUAGAAUACUACCUUUCUCUGGUUGGGCGCAGUGGCUCACGCCUGUAAUCCCAACACUUUGGGAGGCCGAGCAAGUGGAUCACAAGGUCAGGAGUUUGAGACCAGCCUGGCCAAUAUGGUGAAACCCCGUCUCUACUAAAAAAAAAAAAAAAAUACAAAACAACAACAACAACAACAAAAAUCAGCUGGGUGUGCUGGCAGGUGCCUGUAAUCCCAGGUCCUUGGGAGGAUGAGGCAGAAGAAUCACUUGAACCCCGGAGGUGGAGAUUGCAGUGAGCCAAGAUCAUGCCACUGCACUCCAGCCUGGGCAACAGAGUGAGACUCUGUCUCAAAAAAAAAGAAAAAAAAUACUACCUUUCUCAUUUGUUGCCAUAUUGCCUUUUGACCUACAAGGGCAGAGUUAAGUAGUUGCAACAGAGUAAAAUAUAAAAUUCUGCUGCCAUUAUCUAGACUUCAGAGAUAGAGGACGAACCUAAAAAGGUGCCCAAUAUGUUUUGAUAAAUGACUAUAAUGGUGGUCAAAGUGGGUGUAGAGUCUCGUGUGUGCAAAUCAAAGGGUCAAGAGACAAUCAUUAAAGAAUGGGAGAUGCAGAAUUUAAUCUUGUCAGGAUGCAAAAUAACAUUCACCCAAACGAGGUGAUUAAAAAGUUGAAGAAAAAUUGAAUGAUACUCAGGUCAUGUGUGUCAUAUUUUCUGUGAAAUUAAGCCCAGCUGAAAGGUAUGGGCUUAGGAUUCUGGCUGACACAGCAAGCGGAAAUCUGGCCAUGGGGCUAGCCUGUUCCCUCUUGGGUGAGCUGAAUGUUCUGGAGAUGCAUUCAGGUUUCAAUGAUAACUUUAAAUUUCUUCUCAAUCUCACUGGAUUAAGGAGAGUGUAACAAUCUGUCACAUUUAGGAAGUAAGUAAGUAUUAAAGACCAACUGAAAGUGAUUAUUUUACUUUUGACACAACAAUUUCUAGUGACUAUUCGGAGUGACUUUCUGACGAAUAUUCUAGAUGUAUAAGUUCUGUUUAAAGGCAGAAUUUAUUUUGAAGUUUGUAACUUUAAUAAAUUGAAUAUUAAUUUCAACACAGCUGUAUUAUUUGACAUGAUUAAAACAUCAUUCAUGGGGUCGGGCGUGGUGGCUCACGCCUGUAAUCCUAGCACUUUGGGAGGCUGAGGCAGGUGGAUCACGAAGUCAGGAGUUCAAGAUCAGCCUGGCCAACAUGGCGAAACCCUGUCUCUGAUAAAAAACAAAAAUUAGCCAGGCGUGGUAGCGGGUACCUGUAAUUCCAGCUACUUGGGAGGCUGAGGCAGGAGAAUUGCUUGAACCCGGGAGGCGGAAGUUGCAGUGAGCCAAGAUCGCACCACUGCACUCCAGCCUGGGUGACAGAGCGAGCGAAACUCCGUCUGAACAACAACAACAAAAAUCAUUCAUUCAUCUAACAAACUUAUUGAGCACCUAUCAUGUAUCAGGUAAUAUUCUAGAUAAUGAGCAUAUAAGAUGUAAGCAAAACAAAGUCCUAGUGCUAAAAAACAAAAGCACAUUCUGGUAAUAGAUAUGUGACAAUAGACAAAAAGAUAUAAUACGUUAGGUGGUAACUAUCAUACAGUAAAAUACCAUUUAAAAACUCCGGUGCAAACAUAGAAAAAUGGAAAGAGUGCUGCUCCAACCUUAAGAAAAAUACUGAAUAAUCUUUAAAAUCAUAACUUUUCUUGAGUCCAAUAGAGAGCUAACAUCUCAGGACAAUCAUGUGGCCUGAAAUCUAAGGAAAUACCGGCACCUCCAAGGAGAGAUGGGACACAGACACUGGCCUGCCAUGUGGCAGAAUGUGGCAGAUGCAAGUGCCACACAAGCACUUAAGAAGAAAUCAGGUGAUAAGUUGCAAAAGGGCAGAGGCCAAGUCUCUUUCCACAGCUGUAUAUCUAGUGCCUACCACAGAGCCUGGCACAUGGUUCUUGAUUUCCUCGGCCAUGAGACAACAAACCUCAGGUAUCAACCCCGACAAUGAGGCCACUUCAUUGUGGGGCCCAUCUGGGAUCCAAGGUAGAUUCAUCAGAAGGGUGAGUAUAGGAGCAGACCCCAAAUCUUUACUUUCAUUUUGGGGCCUUCUGCCCUCCAUUUUAAAAUAAAACCAAAAACACUCGGUGUCUGACGGCCACCUAGAUGCCCUUAGGGAAUGCCACCCAUCUCAAGACUUAGACGACAGGCUUGCUGGGGAGAACUUAGUGAAUCCCUCGGUAGCCUCAGGGUGCUGGGAAUGUUGACUCUGUUUCAAACCAGUUUCCUUUCAUGGAGAGCCUUGCUAUUGCAUGGGGCUGAAAGAGGUCCAGAGGCAACUGAUAGUUCCUGGCCAGGGCUACACCCAGGUGUUGCCCGAAGGCUUAUGGAUUAACCUCAGACUCUGACUGCCCACUGAGCAUCAGUAACAGGAUCUCAAAGCUUUUCCUAUUGCAUUUUUCCUUCUUUCCUGUCGACUGCUAUGUCUCCUAUCCCCUCUCUGUAUGAAAUGCUGUGGGAAUUUUUAUACUUCAGGGAAAUAAUCCUGUUAGACAGGAUCAGCAAAUGCCAUAGUAACCAGGAAUGUAAUGCAAAGGAUUGCCAUUUUUGUGAUUUUCUAGGAAUAGAGAGAAUCUCCCUUUCCCCGGCAGUGAGCAUCUCUCUCUCUCCCCUUGGUCUGGAGAUCACAUGGUAUUUCAAGGUCUAUAGCACCACCGAGUGGAACAGAAAUCCUCUCCAUGAGGUACCUUGUCAGCCCUUUGCCUAAACACUCUAGUUUCCCAAUUCUCCUCCCCUUUUGUACUCCUCUACUAGAGGCCAGGCUUUAUGCUCCUUCUGUGAAUGGGAAAACUCAACAAUGAGGAGGAAAAUGUCCUCCAAAACCAAAUUUUAGUUUUGAUACUGUCCCAUCAGCAGGAAAACCACCAUUCAGUUCCCACAUUCUUUUAAGGCACCUAUUCUGCCUCCCAUUAAAAUGGUACUUAAAUAGUAAGGGGAUGUAAUGUCUUAAAGUUAACCAGAACCACUGCCUAACAAUAAAUAUUUUAGUCCAGGCCAUAAUAGCAGUAUAGAGCUCAACCCAGUACACUCUCUCCAUUAAGGGGCCUUGCAAAUACAACUGUUACAUAGUCUUUCCCAAGAGCCAUCUAUCAGGGAGCCACAUAGAUCAUACAAGUCUGGGAAAUCACCAGUGGAGGAUUAGAGUUGCAUGGGUGAGUGUGACUAAAUCCAUCACUUAGCUCCUCUAGAUCCAUGCCUGAGGGACAUGCCUGCAUCCAAGAGUAGCACCUUUUAACAGAUGCCAAGGCUCAGGGAACCAAGAAGGGAAAACAGUUGGGGGAUGCUCCCAUUGUCUUCCUCUCUACCUUGGGCCAUUCCAAAGGAAGGAGGGGAAUAAGGGACUCCUUGUCUCCCCUAGCUUUCUAGCCAUCUUUAGCCUGCACCCCUCUCAAGUGCAUUCUGAAGCGCUGAGACUCCUUUAAUCCUAAAACUGCUUUUGCACAAGGGCAUGGCCUUCUUACUAGACCUUUGCAAGCACUGGACAAUCAACCAAGCUCUUUUUGCAGUCAUAUCAGGCAAUCCAAAAGGUAAUGAUUCCCCAAAACUAAAAAAGCAACUUCAGGCAGCUAUUGAGUGUCCCAGCUCUUCCUGUCCCCCUUAUUUAGGGCCCCCUCCAACUGUGCCAUCAGCUCCUCUAGUUCCACCAUCUCCAAAAUUCCCCACUCCCCCAGCUUCACUCUUACCCCUACAGGAAAUGACCAAUGGAGGUGAUGCCACUAGGGUUCAAGUUCCUGUCUCAUUGCAUGACCUUAGGCAAAUAAAGGGAUACUUAGGCUGAUUUUCUGAUGACUCUGAUAGGUAUAAAGAAGCUUUCCAAAAUUUAACUCAGGUGUUUGACCUCUCAUGGAGGGAUGUUAUGCUGCUCCUAAGCCAAACCCUAACCGCAGCUGAAAAAUAGGCAGCUCUGCAUGCAUCAGAGAAAUCUGGAGACAAGCAAUAUGUCUCUUAUAGUAGGCCAAAAAGGAAAAGAGAAAAUAGGGAAGGUGAAGAGAUAGGGGAACCAUCAUUCCCAGUAGAGAAGAGAGGCAGUACCUCUUGACAACCCUGAUUUGGAACCCUGAUGACUCCACAAAUGAGUGGAAAAAGAAACACUUAUUAAUGUGCAUAUUGGAGGGCCUACAAAGAACUAGGAGAGCCAAACCUCUUCAUUACUCUAAACUGUCCAAGAUAAACCAAAAGCCAGAUGAGAAUCCUGCAGCCUUUAUGGAAAGGCUGAGAGAAGCACUAAUAAAACACGCCUCCUUAUCCCCUACUCAGUCAAGGGACAGCUAACCCUCAAGGAUAAGUUUAUUACACAGGCAGCUCCCAAUAUUAGAAGGAAACUGUAGAAGCAGGCUAUAGGACCAGAUAGCACCUUGAAAAACCUCUUGAGGGUGGUUUCCGUGGUCUUUCAUAAUAGGGACCAGAAGGAGACCCUGGAGAAAGAAAGGAAACACAAGAGAAGGCAGAGGCUCUAGCAGCUGCUUUGCAAACUUGCAAAGUCCAGGAUCCCCAAGGUGUAUCCAUUAGUUGCUACCAGUGUGGCAAGUCAGGGCACUUUAAGAAGGUGUGCCCAGGCAGCAAGUAGAAGCCACCUCAACCAUGUCCAGCCAGUGGUUGGGACCACUGGUGAUCAGACUGCCCCUGGAGAUGGAGGUCACUGGGUUCAGAACCAGUCUCAUAGAUGGUCCAACAGGACUGAUGGGUCCUGGGGUUCAGACCCCUGGCUCCAGCAGCUCAAACUGUCAUUAUUGCACAGGAGCCCCAGGUGAUUCUGAAAAUUGAAGGAAGGAAGGAAGGAAGGUGGACCUUCUUCUAGACAUUGGAACCAGUAUCCCUCUUCUCCCUAAUCCAGGCCGCCCCUUUUCCCAUAGCAUGACCAUGAUGGGCAUCUCAGGUAAAGUUCUAACUUGAUAUUUUUCUCAACCCCUUAGUUGUAGUUGGGAGGACCUAUUAUUUACAUAUGCCUUCUUACUCAUGCCUGAAAAUCCCACUCCUUUAUUAGGCAGACAUUCUAGCUUGCAUGGGGGCCAGCAUCCUUAUAGCCCCAAGACAAACUCUUUGUCUCCCCCUGGUGGAAGCUAUUAUUAAUCCAGAAGUGUGAGCAACUCAAGGAAAAAUAGGCCAGUUCAGAUCCAUCUUAAGGAUCCCACUUCUUUUCUUAACCAGAGAUAAUAUCCCCUAAAGCCAAAGCUAGGAAGGGGCUAGAAGCCAUUAUUAAUAACCUGAAAAUGCAGGGCCUCCUCAAACCUUGUAGCAGCCCCUGCAACACCCCAAUAUUAGGAGUGCAAAAACCCAAUGGAGAAUGGAGACUAGAUCAGAUCCUCCACAUCAUUAAUAAGGCCAUAGUUCCAACUCAUCCAGUGGUCCCUAAUCCUUAUACUUUGCUAACCCAAAUACCUGAGGGAACUAAAUGGUUCAGUCCUAGAUUUAAAGGAUGCCUUUUUCUAUAUAGCGUUAUAUCCUGACUCUCGAUAUCUGUUUGCCUUCGAAGAUCCCUCUGGCCAGAUGCCCAGUUAACAUGGACAGUGCUGCCUCAGGGAUUUUGAGACAGUCCCCACUUGUUUGGACAGGCACUGUCAAAGGACCUCUCUGAGUUUUCCCAUUCUCAGGUCAGGGUCUUGCCAUAUGUAGAUGACAUACUGUUUUGUGCCCCAACUGAGGAAGCAUCUCAGGAAGGCAGUGAAGCUCUUCUUAAUUUCUUAGCCAACAGAGGAUAUAAGGUUUCAAAAUCUAAGGUCAAGCUUUGCCAAACCCCAGUGAAGUACCUGGGUGUAGUGUUGUCUGAAGGGACCAGAGCAUUAGGGGAAGAAAGGAUUAAGCCAAUUUCCUCCUUCCCCCUCCCUAAAACCUUCAAGCAACUAAGAGGAUUUGGGAGCAUUACAGGAUUCUGCAAACUCAUCUUGGUAUGGCAAGAUAGUUUACCCUUUAUAUCACCUCAUAAAAGAAACUCAAGGCCGGGCACAGUGGCUCAUGCCUGUAAUCCCAGCACUUUGGGAAGCCGAGAUGGGUGGAUCAUGAAGUCAAGAGAUCAAGACCAUCCUGGCCAACAUGGUGAAACCCCGUCUCUACUAAAAAUACAACAAUUAGCUGGGCAUGGUGGUGCAUGCCUGUAUUCCCAGCUACCCAGGAGGCUGAGACAGGAGAAUCGCAUGAACCCGGGAGGUGGAGGUUGCAGUGAGCUGAGAUCAUGCCACUGCGCUCCAGCCUGGGUGACAGCAAGACUCCAUCUCAAAAAAAAAAAAAAAAAAAGAAACUCAAGUGGCUAAAACUCAUUUCCUAACCUGAGAACCUGAAGCUCAAAAGGCCUUUAAUCAGUUAAUACAAGCCUUACUUAAGGUACCAGUCCUCAGCCUUCCCAUAGGGAGGGUCUUCAAUCUUUUGUAUCAGAAAGGAAGGGAAUGGCCCCGGGAGUUUUAACUCAAGCCUGAGGACCAGCUCAACAGCCAGUGGGAUCCCUAAGUAAGGAACUUGAUUUGGUGGCUAAAGAAUGGCCAUCAUGCCUCUGAGCCAUUGCCACAGUGGCCCUACUGGUACCAGAGGCCACCAAAUUAACCCUGGGAAAUAGCUUAACUGUUUAUACCCCACAUAAUGUAGCACGAUUGCUGUCCUCUAAGGGAUGCCCUUGGCUAACGGCAUCCUAAAUAUCAGGCUCUGAUAUUAGAAGGGUCUACAAUCCAGUUAAAAACUUGCUCUUGCCUAAACUCAGCCACUUUCCUCCCCAAGGAAACCGAGGAACCUGAACAUGACUGUGAACAAGUUGUGGUACAGACCUAGGUAGCCAGGGAAGCUCUCAGGGAAACUUCCCUAGAAAAUCCAGACUGGACCCUCUUCACAAAUGGAAGUUCCUUUGGGGAACAAGGAGUCUGUAAGGUGGGAUAUGCAAUGUACACUCUGAAUGACAUUGAAAGUGCACCCCUCUCCCCAGGCACAAGCAUUCAACUAGCUGAACUGACAGCUCUUACAAGAAAACUUGAAUUAAGCAAGGGAAAGGUAGCUAACAUUUACACAGACUCCACAUAUGCUUUCUUAGUUCUUUAUGCUCAUGCUGCCAUUUGGGAGGAAAGACACUUUCCUACUACUAAAGAUAAUCUAUAAAAUACCAUCAGGAAAUUAACAAGUUAUUAUCCUCAGUUUUCCUUCCACGAGAGGUAGCAGUGAUGCAUUGUAAGGGACAUCAGAAGGGAGCAGAUGAAGUAGCCUAAGGAAACAAGUUAGCUGAUCAGGCAGCCAAGUCAGCAGCAAGUCAGCCUCAAGGCCUCAAUACGCUUGAAGCCCCUCUAAUCUGGGAAGGCUCCAAAAGAGAAAUUAAGCCUCAGUACUCCCCUGCAGAGGCAGAAUGGGCCACUUCUCAAGGGUAUACUUUUCAGCUCUCAGGAUGGCUACAGUAAGAGGAUGGCAAACUCCACUUGCCAGCCUCCCACCAGUGGAAAGUCCUUAAGAUCCUUAACCAAGCUUUUCACUUGGGAAAGGAUAAAACUUAUCAGUGUGCCCAGAGAUUUUUCAGGAGAGAACUUAAUAACAGUCAAGCAGCUUGUUAGUGCUUGUGAACUCUGUCUUAAAAAUAAUACCCUUGGCUGGGUGUGGUGGCUCACACCUGUAAUCCCAGCACUUUGGCAGGUGAAUCACUUGACAUCAGGAGUUUGAGACCAGCCUGGCCAACACUGCAAAACCCCAUCUCUACUAAUAAUACAAAAAAAUUAACCAGAUGUGGUGGUGCACGCCUGUAAUCCCAGUUACUUGGGAGGCUGAGGCACGAGAAUUGCUUGAACUCAGGAGGUGGAGGUUGCAGUGAGCUGAGAUCAUGCCACUGCACUCCAGCCUGAGUGACAGAGUGAAACUGUGUCUCAAAAUAAUAAUAAUCCCCUUAACAGGCAUCUCCUUCCUCCUCAAACCUAAAGGAUGGGAAGCCAUCCAGGGAAGGACUGGCAGAUAGACUUCACCCACAUACCAAAGAAGAAGGACAUCCAAUACAUCCUGGUAUGGGUAGAUACUUUCACUAACCGGAUAGAAGCAUUUCCAUGCUGUACAGAAAAGGCCUCCGAGGUAAUAAAAGUGUUUGUUAGUUAAUGAAGUAACUCCCCACUUUAGUCUACCUAAGUACCUUCAAGGUGACAAUGGCCUCUUAAGACAGCUGUCACAUAAGGGGUCACAAAGGCACUAGGCAUACAGUAUCAUCUCCAUUGUGCUUGGAGACCCCAGUCCUCAGGAAAGGUAGAGAAGACAAACGAUAUUAUCAAAAGACAUCUCAGAAAACUGUUCCAAGAAACUCACCUUCCUUGGGUCACUCUUCUUCCCAUAGCUUUACUGUGGGUAAGAAAUACCCCUUCAAAGUUAGGUCUGACCCCAUUUUAAAUGCUGUAUUAACAGCCUUUCCUUACAAGUGAUUUUCUAUUAGGCCAAGAGACCUCUAAAUUGGUUAAGCAUGUAACCUCCCUAGCUCACUUCCAACAGGAAUUAACACAACUAGCAGAAGCCCAACCCCCCAAAAUAGGACCAUCAUUAUUUAACCCAGGAGAUGUGGUAUUAAUAAAGAUUCUGCCCUCUGUCUCCCUAACUAAGCCCAAGUUAGGAAGGGCCCUACACUGUUCUUUCAACCCCUCAGCGAUAAAAGUUACAGGAAUGGACUCCUGGAUGCAUCACUCAAGUCAAAGCCUGGAAACUUGAGAGAGACAGCAACCCCAGACAGCUCAGAGGAAUGUCCUGGAUAUCCAUGUGAAGAAAUAGGAGAUCUUAAGCUGAAAAUCAUAAAAGAUAAGUAAAUGAGUAAGGGCUAUUCAUCCUACUCAGUCCUACUCCUACCUUAUCAGAUACUUUCAGUUAUUUCUACUUUUCCUCUCGAGAUUCGCUGUCAGAUACUAGAACUUCUUCUUGAUGCAUACUUGUGGGAAGAUUUUGAUUAUCUGUGAGAUUAUACUUGUAACUUCACAGACUCCCAAAGGGAAAUUCUAUAUCUUGGUGAGUAAAAUUUAAGAUGGAAAUUAACUACUACACCACCCUUGUGUAAAUUGUUAUACUUACUCUGCUGUUUGCAGUAGGACUAUAUACUGUGGUACCUGCAAUGUAGAAUUCUAGAUGGAAAAUUCUAAUUGCUGUAAUAUUCUGCCUAAUUUUUAUAACAGGAUUAAUAAUUACAGGAAAGAUUUAGCCAAGGUUAACACUAAAGUUACUCUAGCCACCCAAUAAUGUGUUCCUCCCAAUCACAUCACAAGUCAUAAAAGAUAGCCCAGGCCUACAAUUAUCUACUAAUGGCAAGUCAAGGGGGAAUAUAUGUUUUUUUUCAAAGAAAAAUGUUGCUUUUAUAUUACACUUCUGGUAAAGUACAGCGACAUCUGGUGGAGGCAACUAGUAUUACAACCCAUCAAAUGGCUAUCAGGUAUCAAACUCUACUGUCAUGGUUAUAGCCUAUAGUACCCCCACUAAUAAUGGGAUUCUUAAUAUCAUAUUCAAAUCCUAUAUUCUAAACCUUCUUGUAAAAUUUCUCUCUUCUUGCCUAGAAGCUAUUAAACUCCAAAUGGUGCUGCAGAUGGAACCACACAUGGACAUGCCUUUCUUCCAAGAACCCUUAGAUCAACUCCAGAAGGAGCCUUAGCUGCUGUUCCCCACAUGAUGCCCCUCUUCAGCAGGAAGCAGCCAGAAAGAGUUGUCCUCCAAUACCCCUAACAGCUGUAGUGUUUCCAGUCCUCAGGGGGGAAGUAUGAUACAGGGGGUAGAAAGAAAUUAUUAAGGCAGAUAGUGAGGGUAAAAGAGUCCUCAGUAGAGCUUCCCUUUUAACAAAACGCAGUACAAGAAAUUAUUUUUUUCCAGCCAGGCACGGUAGCUUAUGCCUGUAAUCCCAGCACUUUGGGAGGCUGAGGCAGGCAGAUCACUUGAGGUCAGGAGUUUGAGACCAGCCUGGGCCAACAUGGUGAAACCCCAUCUUUACUAAAAAUACAAAAAUUACCUAGGUGUGUUGGGGCACACCUGUAAUUCCAGCUACUCAGGGGGCUGAGGCAGGAGAAUCACUUGAACCCACUGCACACUCCAUCCUGGGUGACAAAGCAUUAUUCUGUCUCAAAAAAAAAAUUAUUUUUUUCCAACAAAGAGAAGCCUGAAAAAUCAAGCUGCAAACAUAGAUAAGCGAGCUGGAAUCUUGCACAGGGGAAUGUCAGCAGCUGUGACAACAGAAAAGGGCUACCUGUGGGCCAGGCAUGUCCAACAUAGAGGCUCCAUCUUCCCUUUUUUUUUGUUACCACAUGUAUAGUAAAGGAAUGGGCAAUGUGGCACAGGCCAGGCAGAGGACCCACCUGCAUAAUAAAAUUUGGGUAGGGGUGACCAGCUUUUCAUACCCUAUGCAAAUGGCACAGCUAUUCUUAACUAGUUUUUAGUGUCCUAUGCACACCUGGUCUAAUCAAUCUUUUGCACCCUAUGUAAAUCAGAAACUGCCUCCUCACCAGGCACCUAUAAAAACCCCUGCAUUUCACUGCAGAUCCAGCAGCUUAUUUCUCUAGGACCCUCUUUCUAGCAGGGAGCUAUUCUUUCUUUCACCUAUUAAACUUACACUCUUAAACUCACUCUUUGUGUGUCCAUAUCCUUUAUUUCCUUGGCCAUGAGACAAUGAACCUCAGGUAUCACCCUAGACAACAAGGCUGCUUCAAUACCAGAAUCUCUGGGCCACAGCUAAGGUAGUGUUAAGAGGGAAAUUCAUAGCAUUAAAAUACCCACAUCAAAAAGUUAGAAAGAUCUCAAAUUAACAACCUAAUAUCACAACUAGAGAAGCUAAAGAAACAAGAGGAAACCAACCCCAAAGCAAGCAAAGGAAAAGAAAUAACCAAAAUCACAGCUGAACUGAAGAAAAUUUAGAUGCAAAAAACUAUUCAAAAGAUCCACAGCCUGGAUAUGGUGGCUAAUGCCUGUAAUCCCAGCAAUUUGGGAGGUUGAGGUGGGAUGGUUUGGUUUCUUGAGCUCAGGAGUUUGAGACCAGCCUGGGCAACACAGUGAGACCUUGUCUCUACAAAAUAUCAAAAAAUUAGCUGGGUAUGAUGAAGUGCACCUAUAGUUCCAGCUACUUGGGAGGCUGAGGUGGGAGGAUUGCUUGAGUCUGGGAGGCUGAGGCUGCUGUGAACUGAGAUCAUGCAACUGCACUCCAGCCUGGGUGACAGAGUGAGACCCUGUCUCAAAGAAAAGAAAAAAGAUCAACAAAUACAGGAGUUGGUUUUUUGAAAAAGUUAAUAAGAUAGAGACUGCUAGCUAGAUUAAUAAAGAAAAGACAGAAGAUACAAAUAAAAACAAUUGGAUAUGACAAAGGGGAUGUUACCACUGACCCCACAGAAUUACAAAAAACAUCAGAGAUUACUACGAACAUAUGAGGUAUAAAACCUAGAAGAAAUGGAUAAAUCCAUGGACACACACAACCACCCAAGACUGAACCAGGAAGAAACUGAAUCCCUGAAUAGACCAAUAACAAGUUCUGAAACUGAAUCAGUAAUAAAAAGCCUGCCAACCAAAAAAAGCCCAGGACGAGACAGAGUCAUAGCCAAAUUCUAUCAGGUGUAUAAAGAACUGGUACCAUUCCUACUGAAACUAUUCCAAAAAUUGAGGAAGGAAUCCUCCCUAACUCAUUCUUUGAGGCCAGCAUCAUCCUGAUACCAAAACCUGCCAGAGACACAACAACAACAACAAAAUUUCAGGCCAAUAUCCUUGAUGAACAUAGAUGCAAAAAUCCUCAAAAAAAUACUGGCAAAUCAAAUCCAGCAGCACAUCAAAAAGCUUAUCCACCAUGAUCAAGUAGGCUUUAUUCCUGGGAUGCAAGGUUGGUUCAACAUAUGCAAAUCAAUAAAUGUGAUUUAUCACAUAAACAGAACUAAAAACAAAAACCACAUGAUCAUCUUAAUAAAUGCAGAAAAUGCUUUUGAUAAAAUUCAACAUCAUUCAUGUUUAAAACUCUCAAUAAACUGGGCAUUUAAGGAAUAAACCUUAAAAUAAUAGGAGCCAUCUAUGAGAAACCCACUGCUGACAUCAUACUGAAUGGGCAAAAGCUGGAAGCAUUCCCCUUGAGAACUGGAACAAGACAGGAUGCCCACUCUCACCACUCCUAUUCGAUAUAGUACUGCAAGUCCUAGCCAGAGCAAUCAGGCAGGAGAAAGAAAUGAGAGGCCUCCACAUAGGAAGAGAGGAAGUCAGGCUAUCUCUGUUUGCAGACAAUGUGAUUCUACACCUAGGAAACUCCACAGUCUCUGCCCAAAAGCUCCUAGAUCUGAUAAACAACUUCACAAAGUUUCAGGAUACAAAAUCAAUGUACAAAAUUCAAUAGCAUUUUUAUACACCAACAACCUCCAAACUGAAAGCCAAAUCAAGAACACAAUC